rnacentral:rRNA from 1 species
GGACUACCGGGGUAUCUAAUCCUGUUUGCUCCCCUUGCUUUCGCAUCUCAGCGUCAGGAAUAAACUAGAAAGGCGCCUUCGCCACCGGUGUUCUUCCACAUAUCUACGCAUUUCACCGCUACACGUGGAAUUCCCCUUUCUCCGUCCAUCCUCUAGAAUGGAAGUUUUAGAUGCGGGUCCGGAGUUGAGCCCCGGGAUUUCACAUCUAACUUUCCACUCCGCCUACAUGCUCUUUACGCCCAAUAAAUCCGAUUAACGCUUGCACCCUCCGUAUUACCGCGGCUGCUGGCAC